rnacentral:piRNA from 1 species
UUCCAUAAAACCACGAGGGACACAAAGAC